rnacentral:rRNA from 1 species
GUUGUGAGGUUAAGCGACUAAGCGUACACGGUGGAUGCCCUGGCAGUCAGAGGCGAUGAAGGGCGUACUAAUCUGCGAUAAGCGCCGGUAAGGUGAUAUGAACCGUUAUAACCGGCGAUACCCGAAUGGGGAAACCCAGUGUGAUUCGUCACACUAUCAUUAACUGAAUCCAUAGGUUAAUGAGGCGAACCGGGGGAACUGAAACAUCUAAGUACCCCGAGGAAAAGAAAUCAACCGAGAUUCCCCCAGUAGCGGCGAGCGAACGGGGAGGAGCCCAGAGCCUGAAUCAGCAUGUGUGUUAGUGGAAGCGUCUGGAAAGGCGCGCGAUACAGGGUGACAGCCCCGUACACAAAAGCGCAUGUGCUGUGAGCUCGAUGAGUAGGGCGGGACACGUGGUAUCCUGUCUGAAUAUGGGGGGACCAUCCUCCAAGGCUAAAUACUCCUGACUGACCGAUAGUGAACCAGUACCGUGAGGGAAAGGCGAAAAGAACCCCGGCGAGGGGAGUGAAAAAGAACCUGAAACCGUGUACGUACAAGCAGUGGGAGCCCCACCACCAAAGCAUUUGCUGUACCGCGUUGACGGAGCGAA